CUCCUUUUGCACAGGAAGCCGGCUAGAUUAUGGGUACCACAACGGCGCCUUUUUCUGCCGUGAAGCAGUUAUGUGUAAACAUUACCGUGUUUCGGUCUGAAGGGCGCCGUAGCUAGUGAAAUUACUGGGCAAAUGAGACUUAACAUCUUAUGUCUCAAGGUGACUAGCGCAGCUGUAGUGCCGCUCUGAAUUAUUGGGGUUUUUCAAGAAUCCUGACCGGCACUGUAAUGGGCAGGGCGUAUCAAUUACCUUAUUAGUCCUUAGUCCCUUAUUUUCUUUAAAAAAAAACAUUAAUUAAUGCUGUCGCGGUCCGUGCAGACCCGUACUCGGUAAACAGGGGGAGCAGGAGGAGCAGCUUCCAGGAGGAGGAUCAUGCCAGCGAUCACUUUACACCAGUAUCUUCGUGACAGGUUGUGAUCCGAUUAUCGACUUGUGUCAGUGUGAGCCACCGUGAACUGUUAAACUAUAAUUAUGUAAAUAUGUGUGAUUGAUGGAAUAUAUUUUAUAAAGUUA